GACGAACGCUGGCGGCGCGCUUAACACAUGCAAGUCGAACGGAAAGGCCUGCUUUCCCUUGUGGAUUGCGGGUACACGCGUGGCGAACGGGUGAGUAACACGUGAGUGAUCUGCCCCCAACUUGGGUAUAAGCCUGGGAAACUGGGUCUAAUUCCCGAUAGGACUGCAGGGUGGUGCCUGUGGUGGAAAACGAUUUUCUAGUGGUUGGGGAUGAGCUCGCGGCCUAUCAGCUUGUUGGUGGGGUAAUGGCCUACCAAGGCGGCGACGGGUAGCCGGCCUGAGAGGGUGGACGGCCACAUUGGGACUGAGAUACAGCCCAGACUCCUACGGGAGGCAGCAGUGGGGAAUAUUGCACAAUGGGCGGAAGCCUGAUGCAGCGACGCCGCGUGGGGGAUGACGGCCUUCGGGUUGUAAACUCCUUUCGACCGCGAGGAAGCCACCUGGUUGGAAGGGUGGUGACGGUAGUGGUAGAAGAAGCACCGGCUAACUACGUG
rnacentral:rRNA from 1 species